AGUUGACAAAGAAAGGGCUAACAAGGAAAGGCUGAGCUCCAGUGACAGGCUAGCUAAUGUCAAGCUCUAAGCCUUCCUUUGUGGAGAAAGAACUUAACAAAAUGACUCUUUUAAAAGGUGACAGAGCUGGCUGCAUUUAACCUCAUGUUUGUCCUUUCUACUGGUGGGACAGCAAAAAAAAAAAAAAAAAUCUGAAACUCAUGUCAUCUGUGGAAACUGCACUCAAACACAGGUAUCCCAAGUAUAGCUGAAGAGCUUUUAUUCAUUCCUUCUGCUCCGGAGAAACCAGCUUUAGAGUGAACAUUAUAGAAAAAUGGAUAGAACUGACCUGCAGAAGCUCUUAAGGGGACUCAGCUAAGGUGGACCUGCCACACCUUACUCUGAGGUCUCCUUACCUGAACAGAUGGGGUCCAUGUCACCUGAUGUUCCUCAACUUGUACACUGCUGUACAGGCCAGCCCAAGAUGUAGUUGUCUCACUAUGUGAACCAUUACCCAAGGCCAUAUGGUCACUGAGUAGCCUCUCCUGCAUGCCUCCUGGACAGAUGGGGAGUGUCCAAUCCCUGGGACGCCGAGUUACACUCAAUGGCUGAUGGGUAAAUACCAUGACCAUU
ensembl:lincRNA Gm12702 predicted gene 12702